rnacentral:ncRNA from 1 species
AUCAUGACGGACUAAACCGACAGGCGCCAGGGAAGGGGGUGUGAAUCCCCCGCAGCCCCCGCUGCUGUGAUGCUGACGAACCCAUAUUUAGCCACUGAUCUGUUUACCGGAUUGGGAAGGAUGGGGAAGGACGACGCUAAGCCAGAAGACCUGCCUGUCGGUAAUAAUCAACA